UUUCCGUCUGGUGCCCGCAUCUCAUUUAUUGUUUUCAUUACUAUAUAUAUGAUAAUAUCUUUGGAAAUGUGUUCCUUUCUAUCAAAACAGGCAGACUUUGCAGUGCCUCCGUGUGCGACUACCAUGAGCAGAAGUUUGAGGGACUUUGCUGGGAAAAUGCCGUGCAGUGAGGCAUAGGGGAUUGGAUGUAGCAGGAUGGCCCCCAGUGGAUGGGCACCGAGGGGUGUGGUGCUCCUCCAGCAGCUCUCUCAUGAGGUUUUCUCUGUUCUUUUGGUGGUCCACCUUCCCUGUGGCUGACAUGGUUGCUGUAUGGAGAGUGGAGAGGACAUGGACGUCUCUUUUGUCAUGCCACUUUACUGCCAGCUGUUGACCGUUCUCCUUGAACUCCACCUCCUCUCUCUGCAUCUUCUUGCAUCCGAAUGCCGGAAUCCCAUUCCUGUUCGACCUGACCGUACCACAGGCCCCUGUGCUGUUGGCGAGCAGAUGCUGGAAGAGUGUGGGACUGUGUGUCUCUUGCCGAGAUGAUGAGCCAGCAUGGUCAUCACCGAGGACCCGGACACCCCAAGACCCUCAUAAUAUUGGAUGUCAGUGGUGGACCCUGUGUAGACUAUAAUGUCCUGGACAAAUUAUGUCUUCACGUUGCACAUAACAAAUAAUCAAUAAAUCACUAUCAGAAAAUGAUUCACAUGUUUAAGGUCUGGUG
rnacentral:lncRNA from 1 species